rnacentral:rRNA from 1 species
AUUGAACGCUGGCGGCAGGCCUAACACAUGCAAGUCGAGCGGAUGAAGGGAGCUUGCUCCUGGAUUCAGCGGCGGACGGGUGAGUAAUGCCUAGGAAUCUGCCUGGUAGUGGGGGAUAACGUCCGGAAACGGGCGCUAAUACCGCAUACGUCCUGAGGGAGAAAGUGGGGGAUCUUCGGACCUCAAGCUAUCAGAUGAGCCUAGGUCGGAUUAGCUAGUUGGUUGGGUAAAGGCCUACCAAGGCGACGAUCCGUAACUGGUCUGAGAGGAUGAUCAGUCACACUGGAACUGAGACACGGUCCAGACUCCUACGGGAGGCAGCAGUGGGGAAUAUUGGACAAUGGGCGAAAGCCUGAUCCAGCCAUGCCGCGUGUGUGAAGAAGGUCUUCGGAUUGUAAAGCACUUUAAGUUGGGAGGAAGGGCAGUAAGUUAAUACCUUGCUGUUUUGACGUUACCAACAGAAUAAGCACCGGCUAACUUCGUG